rnacentral:rRNA from 1 species
ACGGAAGGCAGCAGUGAGGAAUAUUGGUCAAUGGGCGGAAGCCUGAACCAGCCAAGUCGCGUGAAGGAUGAAGGUAUUAUGUAUUGUAAACCUCUUUAGACGUAGAGAAAUAAGGGGAUCGUGAUCCCUGAUGCUAGUAUACGUAGAAUAAGGAUCGGCUAACUCCGUGCCAGCAGCCGCGGUAAUACGGAGGAUCCGAGCGUUAUCCGGAUUUAUUGGGUUUAAAGGGUGCGCAGGCGGUCUUUUAAGUCAGUGGUUAAAUCGUGGAGCUUAACUCCAUCCCGCCAUUGAUACUGGAGGACUUGAUUGCGGUUGAGGUUGGCGGAAUUCGCCGUGUAGCGGUGAAAUGCAUAGAUAUGGCGAAGAACUCCGAUUGCGUAGGCAGCUGACCAAGCCGUAAAUGACGCUCAUGCACGAAAGUGCGGGGAUCGAACAGGAUUAGAUACCCUGGUA